CGUAGGUCCCGAGCGUUGUCCGGAUUUAUUGGGGCGUAAAGCGAGCGCAGGCGGUUUGAUAAGUCUGAAGUUAAAGGCUGUGGCUCAACCAUAGUUCGCUUUGGAAACUGUCAAACUUGAGUGCAGAAGGGGAGAGUGGAAUUCCAUGUGUAGCGGUGAAAUGCGUAGAUAUAUGGAGGAACACCGGUGGCGAAAGCGGCUCUCUGGUCUGUAACUGACGCUGAGGCUCGAAAGCGUGGGGGAGCGAACAGGAUU
rnacentral:rRNA from 1 species